rnacentral:misc_RNA from 1 species
UUAAGUUCAGCGGGUAUCCCUACCUGAUCCGAGGUCAACCUUAUAAUAGUUGGGGUUGUUGGCAAGUACACUUAAGACCCUGUCGCGAGAAAAGUACUACGCGUAGAGCUUAAGAGCACCGCCACUGAUUUUAAGAGAGGCCAGUCAGGCCAGCUCCAAGUCCACCACAAGGGUGAUUUGGUCAUUAUGACGCUCGAACA